AUUGAACGCUAGCGGCAUGCCUUACACAUGCAAGUCGAACGGCAGCGGGGGAGCUUGCUCCCGCCGGCGAGUGGCGAACGGGUGAGUAAUACAUCGGAACGUACCCAGUAGCGGGGGAUAGCCCGGCGAAAGCCGGAUUAAUACCGCAUACGCCCUACGGGGGAAAGGGGGGGAUCGCAAGACCUCUCACUAUUGGAGCGGCCGAUGGCUGAUUAGCUAGUUGGUGGGGUAAAGGCCUACCAAGGCGACGAUCAGUAGCUGGUCUGAGAGGACGACCAGCCACACUGGGACUGGGACACGGCCCAGACUCCUACGGGAGGCAGCAGUGGGGAAUUUUGGACAAUGGGCGAAAGCCUGAUCCAGCAAUGCCGCGUGUGCGAAGAAGGCCUUCGGGUUGUAAAGCACUUUUGUCGGGGAAGAAAUCGUUUGGGUUAAUACCCCGAGCAGUUGACGGUACCUGAAGAAUAAGCACCGGCUAACUACGUGCCAGCAGCCGCAGUAA
rnacentral:rRNA from 1 species